rnacentral:rRNA from 1 species
GUAGUUGGAUCUUGGCUCGCGACGGUCGGAUCGUCUUCUUGGCGAAUUCCAGACCGAUCCGAGCAGAAAUCGCUGGUACGUCCGUCGGUGCUCUUCAUCGAGUGUCGGCGGAUGGCCGGUACGUUUACUUUGAAAAAAUUAGAGUGCUCAAAGCAGGCGAUGGUGCCGGAAUAAUAGUGCAUGGAAUAAUGGAAUAGGAUCUCGGUUCUAUUUUGUUGGUUCUCGGAACUCGAGAUAAUGAUUAAUAGGAACAGACGGGGGCAUUCGUAUUGCGACGUUAGAGGUGAAAUUCUUGGAUCGUCGCAAGACGGACUACUGCGAAAGCAUUUGCCAAGAAUGUUUUCAUUAAUCAAGAACGAAAGUUAGAGGUUCGAAGGCGAUCAGAUACCGCCCUAGUUCUAAC